GUCUUGGCCAGGCUGGUCUUAAACUCCUGACCUCAGGUGAUCCACCUGCCUCAGCCUCCCAAAGUGCUGGGAUUACAGGUGUCAGCCAUCACGCCCAGCCUACUGUUAGUUUUGAUCUGCCUAGUUACAGAAGUUAUAUUUCUUUGUUUAUUUGUAUCAUAAGUAAUCUAGAAGAUAUAUAUAUAUAUGUGUGUGCUGUUAUAUAUGUUUACAUGGCUUCACCACUGCAGCUCUUCAUAACUGAGAGCCAAAGAUGAGUACUUCUGAGCUAUAACUCUUCUUUUUACAAAUUUUGAUUAUUAUAAUUUGUAAUGAACUGUGCUAGUAGGCUCUAUUUGCAAAGUCAUGUUGACAUGUUGUGGCAAAUUGGAUGCAGUAAUCAUUAAAUUGACUUAACUGGCUACUGCCAAGUCAUACCAACCUUGAUUUGAAAAUAUCUCUGAUUAUAGGGUCCAACUUCAUUGUACUUUUUAGUAAAUUAUAUGCCAAACCUUUUGCUUUUUUUUUUUUUUUUUUUUUUUUU